GUCGGAGUGGCGGAACUGGUAGACGCGCUAGGUUGAGGGCCUAGUGGGCUAAUAGCUCGUGGAGGUUCGAGUCCUCUCUCCGACA
rnacentral:tRNA from 1 species